rnacentral:rRNA from 1 species
CUUACACAUGCAAGUCGAACGGUAACAGGUCUUCGGACGCUGACGAGUGGCGAACGGGUGAGUAAUACAUCGGAACGUGCCCAGUCGUGGGGGAUAACUACUCGAAAGAGUAGCUAAUACCGCAUACGAUCUGAGGAUGAAAGCGGGGGACCUUCGGGCCUCGCGCGAUUGGAGCGGCCGAUGGCAGAUUAGGUAGUUGGUGGGAUAAAAGCUUACCAAGCCGACGAUCUGUAGCUGGUCUGAGAGGACGACCAGCCACACUGGGACUGAGACACGGCCCAGACUCCUACGGGAGGCAGCAGUGGGGAAUUUUGGACAAUGGGCGAAAGCCUGAUCCAGCAAUGCCGCGUGCAGGAUGAAGGCCUUCGGGUUGUAAACUGCUUUUGUACGGAACGAAAAAGCUUCUCCUAAUACGAGAGGCCCAUGACGGUACCGUAAGAAUAAGCACCGGCUAACUACGUGCCAGCAGCCGCGGUAAUACGUAGGGUGCGAGCGUUAAUCGGAAUUACUGGGCGUAAAGCGUGCGCAGGCGGUUAUGUAAGACAGAUGUGAAAUCCCCGGGCUCAACCUGGGAACUGCAUUUGUGACUGCAUGGCUAGAGUACGGUAGAGGGGGAUGGAAUUCCGCGUGUAGCAGUGAAAUGCGUAGAUAUGCGGAGGAACACCGAUGGCGAAGGCA